GGCUGGAUUACCAUGAAGUGCUCCUAAUUUGCACAGAGAGAUAAGGAGCUCAUCAUAACUGAGAGAGGGGGACUGUUAUUUCCAAGCAGCUGUGGCAGGCUGGUCCUCGGCUUGCUCAACCUGCAGUCUGGGCUCCUGCUACUGAAGGGACAGAAGGCGGAUGUUGGGAAGAACUUCCUAAGGAAGCAUCAAGAGGGGCCUGUGCGAUCCUAGCCUCAGGUGGCCUUUAGGGAGGGGCUCUGCCCAAAGUCCCCUUUCUGGGCCCUGAGCCCCAGUAGACCCUAGCUUUGGGAGGUUGACUGACCUGAUAGGGAGGGACAAGUUGCUGAACUUUCUCAGGCUUGGAUGGAGCUCAAGUGGGCAGCAGAGAGGUCUGGGGCACUUCAUUCUGGUGGGACAAGCUCCUGGCAUCUGAGCAAGAUGAGAAGACUGAGGCUGAAGAGGUGGCGCAGGGUCACACAGAGCAGGGAUCGGAACCACAUCCGGCUGACGCCAGCUCCCUGGGUUCUGGACCGCCUGGGAUGUCAGUGAGUCCACCUGCUCUGGCGAGGCCUGUGCUGGGCUCCGGGGAAGAGCCGUGAGCAGGGCAGAUGCGGUCCUGGCUCGCUCAGACCUUCGGCAAUCUGGCGUGGGUGAGGUAGCCUUGGGGACUCAGGUGGCUUUGCGGGUCCCUGAGCGACUGCUGGCAAGGGUGGGGUCAGGAAGGGGGCGUGUCCAGCACUUCCGCCUUCAGUGUCCCCGCUGCUAGCGUUUUUUUUUUUUUUUUUGCCCCGUAAGUAAUUGUGUGUAAGGCAAUUUUGCCCUAAAAGGAUGAGAAGAUAACUGGUUGACGGUUUGAUUUGACAGUUUGUUUUCAUUUCUCCGCGGACCCAGUCCCCCCAUGUUUAUACCACAGAGAUCUCAGCCCUCAUGAUCGUCUGGAUUGUGGUGCAGAGUUUGAACUCACAUCUGCCAGACAGCUUUGGAACAUCUAUCAAGGGACGUGCGACAAAGCCCAAGAACAAACGAUAGCGCAGAAGGCUUUCAUGUUGCAAUGCGAACCUCAUUUGCAAACACGCAUCCUAGUUUUUGGAAACGGGUUUUUCUCUUAGGAAGGAAGAAAUUUUAGGGAGAAUGGAAGGCGUGUGACGCUGCACAGAACGAUGAACCCACAGGCAAAGAGACGCGUGCAAUACUCCGACCCAAAGACACCGAAGACAAGUGUGAAGGUACAAUCCUCCAAAUAAAACCAGCUAUUCGCACCGCAUUGCUAUGGAUUUGCAGGGCACAAGGUUGGUGUGUACAUCUGAGGUGGCACCAGAAGUCAUGGAUCCAUGUACAUCAACUGGCUCUCACCAAGAAGUGACAGAAGCCUCAAAACCCAAUAAAGCCAAAUCUCUGAGCAGGGGAGCCAUGAACAGGUACAUCAAGGGGCUGAUGAUAGAGCCUCAGGAUGUGUGACGGGAAGGCCAAUUAGCUUCUGGGGUAUCCGGCCCCAGAGAGGAGGCAGGAGUGUGUGGUGGGCAAGAAUGCAGACUUCAAGGUCAGAUAAAUUUUGGUUCUCAUCUGGACUCCUCUACUUACUCCCUGGACGGCCCAGGCAAGCUUAGUGAUUUCUCUGAGCCUUGGUUUCCUCUUCCAUACAAUGGGAAUAAUAAUGUUAUUAGUUGUCUAUUGCUGCAUAACAAAUACCACUCCCCGCCCCCCCCCCCAAUUUAGUAGCUGAAAACCAUAUAUAUUUAUUGUCUUGCAGAUUUGGGGGGUCAGGUAUCCAGGAGUGGCUUAGCUGAGUCCUCUGCUCGGGGUCUGUUACAGUGAACGGGCUGCAGUUUCUCGUCAAUGUCAUGGGCUGUAGUUUCAUCCGAAGGCUGUGCUGGGGAAGGGCCCACUUCCUAACCCAUGCGCAGGAUGCUGGCAGCGUUCGAUUCCUCCAGGGCUGUCAGACUGAGGGUCUCAGUUCCCCACUGGUGGUUGGCUGCAGGCUGCCCUCGGUUUCUUGCCACAUGGGCCUUUCCAGCUUGCUUCGUGACUAAUUGCCAGAGAGAGAGAGAGAGGGCAAAUGAAGUCACAGUCUUUUAUAACCCAGUCCCAGAAGCACGAGGCCAUCACCUUUGCCCUAUUCUGUUAUUACUCAUGAGAAGCAACUCACCAGCCCACACUCAAGGUGAAGGGAUUGUUACACAAGGUGUUAUUAUGUGACUACCAGGAGAUGGGGAUCAUUGGGAUCCAUCUCAGAAUACAAUAAUGUCUAUUUUGGGGGAACGUCAUAAAGAGUAAAUGAGAGUCUGCACGUAUGUAAUCAGCGUGGCACCUGGCACUCAGGAUCUGCUCAAUACAGUGAUUAUUGUUAUUUUGUUGUUGUUAUUCUCAAAGCCGUUCUGGGCUGAGGCUGAGAUAGGACAGAGCCCAACAACCCACCCCAUCUCCACGCAGUCAAAUCCUGUGUAUCCCUGGGCUCGCCCCAGUGCUCCAGGAAGCUUUCCCCCAGUCAGCUGUGAACUGUACUUCCUUGAAUGUCCCCUCCUUGUUUGCAGGGAAGGGAGCACCACCCCUGGCUGGGCUGACGGUCACAAACACCCCACUAGCGUCGUCUAUCUCAUAGACCUUGGCGGUGGUGGGACUACAACGUUUGAGGUUUACAGAUUUCUGAGAUAUAGCAGCGGAAGGGUUAUAUAUACACACACACAUAUACACACACAUAUAUAUACACAUACACACACACACAUAUAUUUAAUCUGGAAGUUACAAAUUGUGAAGUUUGCAUUGUUACAAAAUAAAUAGGACUGUGACUUCUGUUUCACAAUUUCUGUAGUUCCUUUAUGUCCUUUUGGCAGUGCUGGCGUGUUGCUGACAGAUACAGGAUUUUCUCUCCCUCUGGGAAAUCGGAGGAGGGGGUCCUGUGACACCUUCCCACUCUGAGUGCUCUGCUCGUUAAAGAUGAGGGAACCACCACUCAGGUGAUUGGUCCAAGAUCACAACACGGUGGAACCAGGAUUUGGUUCUCUGGUUCUAAGCCCAUGCAUGGUCUUUGUGUUAUAUUCGUUCAUCCAUUUAUUCAGGAGGCAUUGUUUAGUCUCAGCGAUGCGCCAGCCUCUGUGCCAGGUACUAGGAAUAGAGUGAUGAGUACGUUUUUGUGCCAGGUCUAAAAUGCCCUGAAUGUUCCCCUCCUCUCCUACUUCCAUCGGAUUAUAGCUUUUCCAAACAGAGCCCCCACUUUCUCAACAUCUCUCCUUCUCUGUGUCUACCACAUGCUUUUGAAUUUGAAGUGGGACUAUAUUUAAGGCGAGGUUCUAUCAGCCAUUGGUUUGGGUGGAAGUGUAGCAGGAAAUGGCUUUAAGGUCCCAAGGGAGAAGGAUCUGACCAGAUAUAGAUUUGGAUGAAAGGUGGUCAGAGGCCCCGGAGGAAAAUGAGGAAUGAGGUCUAUAGAUUAAAG